GUUUCAACCUAUUGAUGUUUCCUGCAUUUUGAGUCCAUAUAAAUUUUACAGGCUAUUUAGAAAUUACUGAUAAUAAGAGAGUACAGCUUAUGAGAGAGAAUGGCAUACCCAUUCUCUGGGGCAAAUUCAGAGCCUCAAUUUCUGGUAAAGAGAAACAAUUAAGCUAAAUAAAAGUAACACUUGAAUCAGUAAAUGAAGUUAUUUUUAAUAUUUCCAAAAUUGUUAGUAGAGCUGUCUUUACAAUUUUUUAUGGAUUUAAAUGACAUCUGUUUUUAAUCCCAGCACUUUGGGAGGCCGAGCCACCGCGCUAGGCCUUCAUUCUUAAUUUUAUCUACAAUAUUUGUUCUCUCCCCCUCCUUUGUCUUAGUUUUUCUGUUUUAUUGAUUCCUCCCUCUAAAACAGCACUGUCCAACAAACGUUCAGCAGCUAUGGAAAAGUUCUGUAUCUGUUCUAUCCAUUUCAGUAGUCACUAACCAUACAUGGCCCCUAAGCAGUGGAAACUUGGCUCGUGCGACUGAGAAAAUGAAUUUUUAAUUUAAUUUUCACGUGGGUUGUGGCCACCCUACUGAGCAGCAUCUCUCUAAAAGAUCCAGCUUUUUGAUUUUGUCAGUUCUAUUUGUUUUCUAAUCAGUUCGUCUGUGCUUAUUAUUUCCAAUAUUCAUCAUCUCAUUUUUGUGAUUUCUCUCUAUAUUCAUAUAAUAAAUUAUCAAGCAAAUUUCCUCUAUAAUCAUUUAAACCUCUGCCUUUGUCUCCAUGUUCACAUCAUUGUCAUCUUCAAAUAGUCUAUCCUUGCAGUGUUUCGAUCCUCCAACUUAAGACUUAGGGGUUGGUUGUUUUUUUGUUUUGUUUUGUGUUUUUUGUUUUUUUGAGAUGGAGGUUAGCUCUUGUUGCCCAGGCUAGAAGAGUCCAAUGGCACCAUCUCGGCUCACUGCAAC
rnacentral:lncRNA from 1 species